UACGAAGGGUGCAAACGUUGCUCGGAAUUACUGGGCGUAAAGCGCGCGUAGGCGGCUGCCUAAGUCGGAUGUGAAAGCCCCGGGCUCAACCUGGGAACUGCAUUCGAUACUGGGCGGCUAGAGUAUGAGAGAGGGAGGUAGAAUUCCACGUGUAGCGGUGAAAUGCGUAGAUAUGUGGAGGAAUACCGGUGGCGAAGGCGGCCUCCUGGUUCAAUACUGACGCUGAGGUGCGAAAGCGUGGGGAGCAAACAGG
rnacentral:rRNA from 1 species